AUACAUGCAAGUCGAACGAGUUCUCGUUGAUGAUCGGUGCUUGCACCGAGAUUCAACAUGGAACGAGUGGCGGACGGGUGAGUAACACGUGGGUAACCUGCCCUUAAGUGGGGGAUAACAUUUGGAAACAGAUGCUAAUACCGCAUAGAUCCAAGAACCGCAUGGUUCUUGGCUGAAAGAUGGCGUAAGCUAUCGCUUUUGGAUGGACCCGCGGCGUAUUAGCUAGUUGGUGAGGUAAUGGCUCACCAAGGCGAUGAUACGUAGCCGAACUGAGAGGUUGAUCGGCCACAUUGGGACUGAGACACGGCCCAAACUCCUACGGGAGGCAGCAGUAGGGAAUCUUCCACAAUGGACGCAAGUCUGAUGGAGCAACGCCGCGUGAGUGAAGAAGGCUUUCGGGUCGUAAAACUCUGUUGUUGGAGAAGAAUGGUCGGCAGAGUAACUGUUGUCGGCGUGACGGUAUCCAACCAGAAAGCCACGGCUAACUACGUGCCAGCAGCCGCGGUAAUACGUAGGUGGCAAGCGUUAUCCGGAUUUAUUGGGCGUAAAGCGAGCGCAGGCGGUUUUUUAAGUCUGAUGUGAAAGCCCUCGGCUUAACCGAGGAAGCGCAUCGGAAACUGGGAAACUUGAGUGCAGAAGAGGACAGUGGAACUCCAUGUGUAGCGGUGAAAUGCGUAGAUAUAUGGAAGAACACCAGUGGCGAAGGCGGCUGUCUGGUCUGUAACUGACGCUGA
rnacentral:rRNA from 1 species